AUUGAACGCUGGCGGCAUGCCUAACACAUGCAAGUCGAGCGAACGGCGGACGGGUGAGUAAUGUCUGGGAAACUGCCUGAUGGAGGGGGAUAACUACUGGAAACGGUAGCUAAUACCGCAUACCAUCAGAUGUGCCCAGAUGGGAUGAGCUAGUAGGUGGGGUAAUGGCUCACCUAGGCGACGAUCCCUAGCUGGUCUGAGAGGGUGACCAGCCACACUGGAACUGAGACACGGUCCAGACUCCUACGGGAGGCAGCAGGAGGGAAUAUUGCACAAUGGGCGAAAGCCUGAUGCAGCCAUGCCGCGUGUGUGAAGAAGGCCUUCGGAUUGUAAAGCACUUUCGGCAGGGAGGCGUUACCCAACGAGGAAGCAACGGCUAACUCCGUGCCAGCAGCCGCGGUAAUUC
rnacentral:rRNA from 1 species